CGCCCCGCCCCUCGUGGACGAGCGCGCCCCCGCGCCGGCGUCCCCGGGGCGCGCGUCCUCGCUGCCCGGGCCGGUGCGGCGGGAGGGGCCUCCGCGAGAAGCGCGCUCUCCCCGGGCGCGGGAAAGCUCACGCCGCCGGGGGCCUCCUGGCACCUGCCGCGGGGACUGCAGGGGAAGCCGCUUAAAUCGCCUGCCUUUGCCUUCUCACCCUCGCCCUUGAAGAAGCAUGGUGAUUUGGGCCAUCCAGUGCCAGCCUGAAAAAAGCACAGAGGAGCAGUGGUGUGUGACUUGAGGGCAGAGGCCAAAACACCUCCCCCCCCUUCCCAACUGCAGUAGAAAUUCCUUCCUUAGGUAAGAUCCAUGCUGCUAGAGGAGUCCUCAGGGCCACUGCCACAACACUGGAUGUCAGGAUUGAGCACUCCGCAGACCAUACUACAGGCUUCUCCCACAGCUCCUGGUGAAACCUGGUCUCUUAAGAUUUGCCUGAGAAGUAGAUGUCAGGAGUAGCACAGAAGAGCACUGAACUUACACCAACUUCCUGAAGCUCCAGAAUGGCAAAGGCUUCAAGGGGCUACUUCUAGGACCCUAAGAGUAGCCUAAAGUAUCUGGGAGAAGGUUGGAUGAAGGAGCCCUGCAUUCAUAAGUGAAAGGUAACCAGCAGCCUGCACACACCAGAGACUAGCUAUGAAGAUGCACCUCUCAGGGGAUGGCAGAUUGAAGAUGACACAUCAGAGAACAGAUACCCAUCCCCACCCACUUUUAAGGCCAUGGCACAAAGGGACCAUAUAAAAUACAGCCAUAAUCUGUAGUAAGAAGCACACACACAUGAAGAGAGAGAGAGAGAGAGGGAGAGAGAGAGAGAGAGAGAGUCUGUGUGUAGCCAGUCAGACUAAAAUUUCAUUUCUGCCAUCAGUGGAA
rnacentral:lncRNA from 1 species